AAGUGAAGACCUUGCAGAGAAGACAGCAGGUAAAUGGGAACAGUGUAGAAACCUGCUGGCCAUAGCCAGUGUUUAAGGCUUAAGCCUUAAAUGUAAGCUAUUUCUGUUUUCUAGCCUGUUCUAAUUAUGUUUUGGUCUAUGUAAUUUCUAUUAAUUGUUAGGUCUCUUUUGAAAGGUUAUUGGUUUGGAUGCAUUUUUCUCCUAAAGAAUUAACAUAUGAAAGACUGAUUCUCAGCAUUCAGUGAUUGCCAACCUGUAAGAGACUGAGGCUUUUGAAGGUGAUUGGGUCCUGAGGGAAAUGUUCUCUCCAAGGAGACUUACUCUAGUGUUGAUAGGACUCCAAGUCGUCCUUUGAGAGUGAGUUGUGGAAAGACAAGGCAGACCUUAUUCUAACUUCUUUAAUGUAUUUAGAUGAACAUAUACAUAGAAGGGUGCACUGCAACAUGAUUUUUAAAAUUCUUUUUAAAAUUAAUAUAUAAUGUGAUGGUUUCUAUAUGCUCAGCCCAGGGAGUGGCACUAUUAGAAGGUGUGGCCCUGUUGGAAUAGGUGUGGCCCUAUUGGAGUAGGUGUGUCACUGUGGUGUGGGCUUUAAAACCCUACUCCUAGCUGCCUGGAAGUCAGUGUUCUGCUAGCAGCCUUCAGAUGAAGAUAUAAAACUCUCAGUUUUCCUGUACAUUGCCUGCCUGGAUGCUACCAUGUUCCUGCCUUGAUGAUACUGGACUAAACGUCUGAACCUUUAAGCCAGCCUCAAUUUAAUGUUGCCCUUAUAAGAGUUGCCUUGGUCAUGGUGUCUCUUCACAGCAGUAAAACCCUAACUAAGACAUAUAAUUAUGUAAUUUUCCCCCUUCCCUUUCCCACCCACUAAUCUAUUCUCCUUGCUCUCAGACCUUCUUUAUUUAUGUUUUUGGAAUUAAAAAUGCAUAUAUAUAUGGGUGUUUUGUAUUCAUGUAUGUAGGUUUGUGUACCAUAUAUAUGUAUGGUGCCCUAGAAAUGGUAUUAUAGAUGGUUGUGAGCCUCCAUGUGGGUGGGAGGAACUGAACCCAGGUCCUUUAGAACCCAGGUCUCUCUCUCUCUCUCUCUCCCUCUACCUCUCCCUCUCUCUCUCUCUCUCUCUCUCUCUCUCUCUCUCUCUCUCUCUCCCUGUCUCUCUCCCUCCCUCCUUCAUUCUUUCCUCUCCUCCUCUUUCCUUCCCCUGUCUUUUCUGGUUUGCUGCGGAAAAAAACCAUCAAAAUGUCCUGUUCUUCAUAUUCUAAGGGGAGGGGGGAAACCCCAGAACCAGAACAAACAGCACUCCCAACUGUGUAUAGGACCUAAUAACAUUGAAUUCCUGAAAGAUUCGGUAUUUUAAUACAAAUAGAAAGUGACAUGUCUUUUUAUCUGCUUGACAUUGUCUUCCAGCUUAUAAUUGGUUUAUGGCAGAAACUCUAAGAAUGUCAGAACCACCCAUUCCCUGUGUAUUUAUCUGGUGUUAUAAGAUAGCAUCUAAUAAUGUGAUGUUGCUCGAAUAAACACCUGGUAGGUGAUAUGCUACUGAUGGCAAAC
rnacentral:lncRNA from 1 species